rnacentral:rRNA from 1 species
GAUGAACGCUGGCGGCGUGCCUAAUACAUGCAAGUCGAGCGAACAGACGAGGAGCUUGCUCCUCUGACGUUAGCGGCGGACGGGUGAGUAACACGUGGAUAACCUACCUAUAAGACUGGGAUAACUUCGGGAAACCGGAGCUAAUACCGGAUAAUAUAUUGAACCGCAUGGUUCAAUAGUGAAAGACGGUUUUGCUGUCACUUAUAGAUGGAUCCGCGCCGCAUUAGCUAGUUGGUAAGGUAACGGCUUACCAAGGCAACGAUGCGUAGCCGACCUGAGAGAGUGAUCGGCCACACUGGAACUGAGACACGGUCCAGACUCCUACGGGAGGCAGCAGUAGGGAAUCUGCCGCAAUGGGCGAAAGCCUGACGGAGCAACGCCGCGUGAGUGAUGAAGGUGUUCGGAUCGUAAAACUCUGUUAUUAGGGAAGAACAAAUGUGUAAGUAACUAUGCACGUCUUGACGGUACCUAAUCAGAAAGCCACGGCUAACUACGUG